rnacentral:rRNA from 1 species
UAUGUGAUCGUCUCUCGCAUAUCAAUAAGCGGAGGAAAAGAAACUAACAAGGAUUCCCCUAGUAACGGCGAGUGAAGCGGGAAGAGCUCAAAUUUGAAAUCUUAAAGGGUUUCCCUUUACGAAUUGUAGUUUAAAGAAGUGUUUUCUGUUGAGGUUUUGGUAAAAGUUCUUUGGAAUAGGACAUCAUAGAGGGUGAGAAUCCCGUAUUUGACCUUUACUUUCAACUUUGUGAUACACUUUCAAAGAGUCGGAUUGUUUGGGAAUGCAGUCCAAAAUGGGUGGUAAAUUUCAUCUUAAGCUAAAUAUUGGCGAGAGACCGAUAGCGAACAAGUACCGUGAGGGAAAGAUGAAAAGAACUUUGAAAAGAGAGUUAAACAGUACGUGAAAUUGUCAAAAGGGAAGCGUUUGACACCAGUGUUGUUUUUCUGAAAAUCAAUUAAAGAACUGUUUAUGCUAAGUUGUUUAGACUUUAUCAGCUAACUGUUUAGUUUUGAGCUUUUCUUUAAUGCACUUUUCAGUUAACAAGUCAACAUCAAUUUCUUUUGCUGUAAAAAAGCUUGAGGAAGGUGGCUUGAGAUUCGUCUUAAGUGUUUAUAGCCUCUUGCCUAUGCAGUCGGAGAGAUUGAGGUCUGCUAGCGUAGAUCCUUCGGGGCUAAAUGCAUUUGUGCUAAGUUAUAGCAUUUUAUAGACAACUUGUUGACUAUGAUUUGUCUUGUAGCUUACUCGCUUAUGUUAUUUUACCUACGCUUAGGAUGUUGACACACGCGCGUGCUCG